CGCAUGGCGCAGCUACCAUGCAAGUCGAGCGGUAGCACAGAGAGCUUGCUCUCGGGUGACGAGCGGCGGACGGGUGAGUAAUGUCUGGGAAACUGCCUGAUGGAGGGGGAUAACUACUGGAAACGGUAGCUAAUACCGCAUAAUGUCGCAAGACCAAAGUGGGGGACCUUCGGGCCUCAUGCCAUCAGAUGUGCCCAGAUGGGAUUAGCUAGUAGGUGGGGUAACGGCUCACCUAGGCGACGAUCCCUAGCUGGUCUGAGAGGAUGACCAGCCACACUGGAACUGAGACACGGUCCAGACUCCUACGGGAGGCAGCAGUGGGGAAUAUUGCACAAUGGGCGCAAGCCUGAUGCAGCCAUGCCGCGUGUGUGAAGAAGGCCUUCGGGUUGUAAAGCACUUUCAGCGGGGAGGAAGGCGGUGAGGUUAAUAACCUUGUCGAUUGACGUUACCCGCAGAAGAAGCACCGGCUAACUCCGUGCCAGCAGCCGCGGUAAUACGGAGGGUGCAAGCGUUAAUCGGAAUUACUGGGCGUAAAGCGCACGCAGGCGGUCUGUCAAGUCGGAUGUGAAAUCCCCGGGCUCAACCUGGGAACUGCAUUCGAAACUGGCAGGCUAGAGUCUUGUAGAGGGGGGUAGAAUUCCAGGUGUAGCGGUGAAAUGCGUAGAGAUCUGGAGGAAUACCGGUGGCGAAGGCGGCCCCCUGGACAAAGACUGACGCUCAGGUGCGAAAGCGUGGGGAGCAAACAGGAUUAGAUACCCUGGUAGUCCACGCCGUAAACGAUGUCGAUUUGGAGGUUGUGCCCUUGAGGCGUGGCUUCCGGAGCUAACGCGUUAAAUCGACCGCCUGGGGAGUACGGCCGCAAGGUUAAAACUCAAAUGAAUUGACGGGGGCCCGCACAAGCGGUGGAGCAUGUGGUUUAAUUCGAUGCAACGCGAAGAACCUUACCUGGUCUUGACAUCCACAGAACUUUCCAGAGAUGGAUUGGUGCCUUCGGGAACUGUGAGACAGGUGCUGCAUGGCUGUCGUCAGCUCGUGUUGUGAAAUGUUGGGUUAAGUCCCGCAACGAGCGCAACCCUUAUCCUUUGUUGCCAGCGGUCCGGCCGGGAACUCAAAGGAGACUGCCAGUGAUAAACUGGAGGAAGGUGGGGAUGACGUCAAGUCAUCAUGGCCCUUACGACCAGGGCUACACACGUGCUACAAUGGCAUAUACAAAGAGAAGCGACCUCGCGAGAGCAAGCGGACCUCAUAAAGUAUGUCGUAGUCCGGAUUGGAGUCUGCAACUCGACUCCAUGAAGUCGGAAUCGCUAGUAAUCGUAGAUCAGAAUGCUACGGUGAAUACGUUCCCGGGCCUUGUACACACCGCCCGUCACACCAUGGGAGUGGGUUGCAAAAGAAGUAGGUAGCUUAACCUUCGGGAGGGCGCUACCACUUGUAUCUUGCG
rnacentral:rRNA from 1 species